AUGGCAGCUUCGAGAGCGCUCGUCCUCGGCGUCCUGCUGGCGAUCACGGUCGCCAACGCCGAGGCGGCGUCCGUCGUGGUCGGCCUGGCCAAGUGCGCCGACUGCACCAGGAAGAACAUCAAGGCCGAGGAAGCCUUCAAGGGUCUUCAGGUGGCGAUCAAGUGCAAGAACAACGCCGGAGACUACGAGAGCAAGGCCGUGGGUGCGCUUGACGGUACCGGUGCCUUCAGCGUGCCCCUCGCCGCCGACCUCCACGGCGCCGACUGUGUCGCACAGCUGCACAGCGCCGCCUCCAACGCGCCAUGCCCCGGCCAGGAGCCAUCCAAGAUCGUGCCGGUGUCGGAGGGCACUACCUUCGGCAUCGUCGCCGGCAACAACAUUGCCACGCCGUCUGCUGCACCGUCGCCGGAGUGCGCAUCCAUGACCCUGUGCGGGCCGAUCAAGAAGCACAUCAUCGAACACUUCCACCACAAGAAGCCUGUGCCACCCAAGCCGGAGCCCAAGCCGGAGCCCCACCCUGACUACGGCCCCGUGCCCAAGCCGGAGCCCAAGCCGCAGCCCCACCCCGACUACCACCCCGUCCCUCCCACGCCUACAUACGGUGGCGGCGGUGGUGGAUACCACGGUCAUCACUGA
rnacentral:rRNA from 1 species